UGGCUCAGUGGUUAAAGCGUCUGUCUGCAAUGCAGGAGACCUGGGUUUGAUCCCUG
rnacentral:tRNA from 1 species